CUCACGCUUCUUGCUCAGCUCCAGCAGUGCAUUCUCCCUCGUCUCAGGGCUGGACAGCUCAUUGAUCCACUGGUAGAUCUUCUCACGGUCCACCUGAGCCAGUGCUGUAGGCACAGGCGCGGCCGUGGCCAGGCUGUGCAUGGCGCCGCUGCCUCCGGGCCGCGCUCAGGAGCCCGCCGCCAUAGAGACAGCACCGCGCGGAGCGCCGGGAAGGGGUCGGGGCCUCGAUGGGGGGGGCGAGGCGCGCGUGCGCGCAAGGAGCGGCG
rnacentral:lncRNA from 1 species